CUGCCAAGGGCAUGGCUGGGUAGCUAUGUACGGAAUGGAUAAGCGCUGAAAGCAUCUAAGCGCGAAGCCAACUUCAAGAUAAGAUUUCCCACCGUAAGGGUAAGAUCCCAGGAAGACUACCUGGUUGAUAGGUCGGAGGUGUAAGUGCAGCAAUGUAUGUAGCUUACCGAUACUAAUAGAUCGAGGACUUGACCAA
rnacentral:ncRNA from 1 species